UCUCUCUGCUCCUGUGCCGCACACCAUUUAGAUGGCAUUGGCUCGCCACAGAGACGUCGCCGGCUCGCCACCAUGAGCUACAGAGGUGGCGGGAGCAGCGAAGGGGCCGAGCGCUGUCGUAUGUCGUGCGGCGGCCACACCGCAGGUAGCCACUCACGGCAACUACGCGCACGCACGCACCGGCCGCCGUCGCGCCGCGAGCUUCGCCUGGCUGUGCACUGCCGCAACCACACGUGAGUUCUUCCAACGCGCACCGCCCACAGUCGACCUGCGAGCCACACAUGCACCGCCGCGAAGCGCUGCUUGAUCCCCUCCAUGGACUCGUGCUCGCCAUCGCAGUCCGUCGCCCUGGCCACGGAGAGGGCCAAGAUCCAUGGAGCUGCUCGUGGGGUGAGCAUAUCGUCCUCGUGCUCCUCAAUUCUGCUGGGGUAUCGUUUGGGCUGGGUGGCAGAGAUGGCGAAUUCCUCCUCGGGUGUCUCAGGGUGGUACACCUCCUAUAUUUUGAGAAAUAAAACUUAUGGUUAUAUGAUAUCAUCUAAGGUGAAACGUUGAAAGGGCUCUUGGAUUGUAUGCCUCGCUCAGGUUGGUGUGGUCUUAUAUUUCAAGAAAUAAAAUCUUGUGGUUAUAUGCUAUCAAUUAAUGUGAACCCGUGAAAGGCCGCUUGAAUUGUAUGCCUCGCUCAGGUAAUGAAUCCUUUGUGCAGAGAGCUCUUCUUGAUGCACCCAUAAGUAAUGAAUUUGCUACACAGCAAAAAAAAGUAGCUAUUUGUUUUAUGGGACCCUGCUUGCUUAUUGUAUUAAAAUGACGAUAUGGCUUUGUUUAUGUGGAAUAUCAUCCAGGUAUUUAAAGGUCGUCCAAGUACACAUUUAGAAUCUGUUAGGGGGGGGGGUGUGCGCACUUCUCUAGUAUGGCCAGGUAUUAGUCGACAAAUGAAUAUACAUCAAAAGGCACCACUUUACUUACAGUUCUUCGAGCUUUGUAGGCCUCAACAGAAGUCCCUUGGCCAAGCUUCAUUGUAAUGCCUAACUAACUACUCCCUCCGUCCAAAAAUACUUGUCAUCAAAAUGGAUAAAAAGAGAUGUAUCUAGAACUAAAAUACAUCUAGAUACAUCCCCUUUUCUCCAUUUUGAUGACAAGUAUUUCCGGACGGAGGGAGUAUUUAACAAACAACUUUGUCAACUAAUAAAAGCAACACUGCAGGUAAAUAAAUUCAUUUUCACAUGUUAUGGUAAGCUGGCUUCUUCCAGCUCCCCAAAAAACUGAGUACUAAUAUACAGAGAAGGUUUAUAAUUAUUAAGGCUACUUCACAAAUUAUUUUGGGAACGGACUAAACAUAUCAGGAUAUACACCAUCAUCUACUAAUACUCUACUAAAUGAACUAUCAAUUCACUUCUCUAGUAUUUAAAUUAUACAUGUCAUGGAAUGACUAACAGUACUUGUUCUUCUCUCAAAGCUGUCAACAAAAUACAGCCAGUAGAGAAGUUAGAAGGAUUUUGAGCUCUAAAGUCCAGGUAUCAAUCCACUUGACUGCACCGAUCUCUGGCCAUUUAAUUCAUGAAUCAACGGAUUUAUCUAUAAGAGAGUAAUUGUCUAUAAGAUAGAACUUGCUUGCAUGCAUUUCAUAGAUAAUAAAUCUGUAAAGAGAAGUUAGGAGGUAACAUACAUAUCUGAAUAUUUACACUUCAUAUACAGACCCAAUACAUCUUCAAUUCAGAGGUAGGAUAGAAGACUGUUUGGUCAGAUCUCCAUAGCUGCAAAAAUCUUCAAUAAUCUGUGAACUCCGUCAGACAGUAAUAUUAAAAAUUCCUUGUUUUAUUGAUAUAUUCACAUCUAGAUAAAGGAGGUACAUGUCCACAGGGGAGGAAAAGCAGCCAUCAAUUGUGCUAAAGUGGCCUCAGUCCAAAGACACUCUCUAAAGUAAAAUUUAGAGCACAAACUGAUGAAGUCUCUCUGAAGUAAAUUCUAAAAUACAUAAAAUGGCACGGGAAGUGUGGAGCCCUUCCAUCUUAUUUAGAUGAUCUCCAGAAGAGUAGUGUUUUUGUCCUCUUGUGGAUAUUUAAAUUACAAUUACCCUAAAAAGUGAAGUUAACUUGUGAAUAUGUGCUUUAAGCAGAUCCAACUUCAUUAGUUUUGAAAAUAAAACAAUUCUCUUCAAUGAUAUAACUUUAUACUUCAUAUUUGUUCAGACAUUGUCAAUUCAAUUUUUUGGUACGCGAUACAGCUAAAAAAAGUGGUAGUUGACAAAUGAAUGCCCAUUGGAUGGUACCACUUUGAUACAGUGCAUCCAGCCUUGUAGGCCUAAAAAAAUGCCCCUUCGCCAAGCUUCACUGUGAUGCCUAACUAACUACUCCCUCCAUGCCAUAUUUGUUAAUUGAUAAACUGAUUUCUUCCAGCUGCCCAAAAAACAGAGUACCAAUACACAUGAAGGCUGUUUAGUUGUUAAGGCAACUUUACAAAUCAUUUUGGGAAUGGACUAAACACAUAUACACCAGUUGAAUGCGAAGAAAAGAAAUCAUUUAUCUACUAAUACUCCACUAAAUGAACUCCAACAAUUCACAUCUCUAGUAUUGUAUUAUACAUGUCAAAGAAUGACAAACAGUACUUAUUCCUCCCUCGAAGUUGUCAAGGAAAUACAACCAGUAGAGAACCUGGAAGGAUAGUGAGCUCUAAACUUCAGAUAUCUAAGGGGGUAAUUGCAGAUAAGAUAGGACUUGCUUGGAUGCAUUUCAUAGAUAAUAAAUCUGUAAAGAGUGGUUAGGAGGUAAUCCCUUUGUAAACUAAUAUAAGACCGUUUAGAUCACAACUUUAGUGAUCUAAAGUAGUAGUCUAAACGGUCCUAUAUUAGUUUACAAAAGGGGUAACAUACAUAUCUGAACAUUUACACUUCUUAUCUUCAAUUCAGAGAUAAGACCGAAUAGUCUCUGGUCAGAUUUCCAUAGCCGCAAAAAGCUUCAAUAAUCUGUGAACUAUGUAAGAUAGUAAUAUUAGAAACCCCUUAUUCUAUUGAUGUAUUCACAUCAAAAGAAAGGAGAUACAUGUCAACAGGGGGAAAAAACCAACCAUCAGUUGUGCUAAUGUUACCACUCCAGAGUGGCCUUAGUCCAAAGACACCACCUGGAUUAAAUUUUAGAACACAAUAAGUUUCAGUUAACUGGUGAACGCUCUCUGAAGUGCAAUUUAAAACAUAUAAAAUGGCACGGGAAGUGUGGAGCCCAUCCAGCUGACUGAGAUCAUCUCGAGAAGAGUGGUGUUUUUGCCCUCUUAUGGAGAUUUGAAAGAGCAAUUACCCCAAAAAAGUGUAGUUAACUGAUGAAUACGUGUUGUAAGCAGGCCCAAGUUCAUUAGUUUUGAAAAUCAAAAAAUUCCCUUUCAUAAUAUAAUUUUAUACUUCAUAUUUUUUCGACAUUGCAAAUUUAUUUUUUGGUAUGAAGAACUAAAAAGAACUGUUGAUACAUCAUACAUGUAUGCAUGAUAUUAUAAAGCAUCGAUAGAUUUUUUUAUUUAUUGAAAUGCUCCCUCUUGUGAAUUUAGUAGCAGUUUAGUACGAAGUCCUGGAUCGCUAGCUGAUGGUGAUGAAACACACGCUAUUACUAUUGAGCUGCCCAGACAGAAGCAGUCCCGCUUCAGAUACAGUCACACUAUGUAUGGGACACUUCAUAGAGAGAGAGAGAGA